rnacentral:rRNA from 1 species
UAAGCAUAUCAAUAAGCGGAGGAAAAGAAACCAACAGGGAUUACCUCAGUAACGGCGAGUGAAGCGGUAACAGCUCAAAUUUGAAAUCUGGGUCUUUCAGGCUCCGAGUUGUAAUUUGUAGAAGAUGCUUUGGGUGCGGCCCCGGUCUAAGUUCCUUGGAACAGGACGUCAUAGAGGGUGAGAAUCCCGUAUGUGAUCGGUGGCUUGCGCCCGUGUAAAGCUCUUUCGACGAGUCGGGUUGUUUGGGAAUGCAGCUCUAAAUGGGUGGUAAAUUUCAUCUAAAGCUAAAUAUUGGCCAGAGACCGAUAGCGCACAAGUAGAGUGAUCGAAAGAUGAAAAGGACUUUGGAAAGAGAGUUAAACAGUACGUGAAAUUGUUGAAAGGGAAGCGCUUGCAACCAGACUUGCGCGGGGUUGAUCAUCCGGGGUUCUCCCCGGUGCACUCGGCCUCGCUCAGGCCAGCAUCGGUUUCGGUGGUUGGAUAAAGGCCUUGGGAAUGUGACUUCUUUCGGGGAGUGUUAUAGCCCUCGGUGCAAUGCAGCCUACCGGGACCGAGGACCGCGCUUCGGCUAGGAUGCUGGCGUAAUGGUUGUAAGCGACCCGUCUUGAAACACGGACCAAGGAGUCUAACAUCUAUGCGAGUGUUUGGGUGUCAAACCCAUACGCGUAAUGAAAGUGAACGGAGGUGAGAACCCUUAAGGGUGCAUCAUCGACCGAUCCUGAUGUCUUCGGAUGGAUUUGAGUAAGAGCAUAGCUGUUGGGACCCGAAAGAUGGUGAACUAUGCCUGAAUAGGGUGAAGCCAGAGGAAACUCUGGUGGAGGCUCGCAGCGGUUCUGACGUGCAAAUCGAUCGUCAAAUUUGGGCAUAGGGGCGAAAGACUAAUCGAACCAUCUAGU